rnacentral:rRNA from 1 species
CUCAGAGUGAACGCUGGCGGCGUGCCUCAUACAUGCAAGUCGAACGAUGAAGCUCUAGCUUGCUAGAGUGGAUUAGUGGCGCACGGGUGAGUAAUGCAUAGGAAUCUGCCUUGUAGUCUAGGAUAGCCACUGGAAACGGUGAUUAAUACUGGAUAUUCCGGAGACGGGAAAGUUUUUCGCUACAAGAUGAGCCUAUGUUCUAUCAGCUUGUUGGUAAGGUAAAAGCUUACCAAGGCUAUGACGGAUAACUGGUCUGAGAGGAUGAUCAGUCACACUGGAACUGAGACACGGUCCAGACUCCUACGGGAGGCAGCAGUAGGGAAUUUUGCACAAUGGGGGAAACCCUGAUGCAGCGACGCCGCGUGGAGGAUGAAGGUUUUCGGAUCGUAAACUCCUUUUUAUGGGAAGAUAAUGACGGUACCAUAAGAAUAAGCACCGGCUAACUCCGUGCCAGCAGCCGCGGUAAACGCACUCGU